rnacentral:rRNA from 1 species
UACGUAGGGUGCGAGCGUUGUCCGGAAUUAUUGGGCGUAAAGAGCUUGUAGGCGGUUUGUCGCGUCUGCUGUGAAAAUCCGGGGCUCAACCCCGGACUUGCAGUGGGUACGGGCAGACUAGAGUGUGGUAGGGGAGACUGGAAUUCCUGGUGUAGCGGUGGAAUGCGCAGAUAUCAGGAGGAACACCGAUGGCGAAGGCAGGUCUCUGGGCCACUACUGACGCUGAGAAGCGAAAGUGUGGGGAGCGAACAGG